AGAUUCUUCACAUUCAAGAAGCAGCAAUGCAAGAUGCAUGGUGGAGGACACACCAUGACAGCAGCGUGUGGUUGUCCAUGAGCACUUUAAACUCCUUUCUCAGGGGCUAGACACUGUGCUGGGUUACAGCCAAGGCAGGAAGCAAUGGUCCCGUGUCCCUGGGUCAGCUUUGGGCAGCAGCAGUGGAAAGUCUUUUGUGCUGUUUUGGGACAUCAUGUCAUUGUGGCCAGUCACUGGAUGAGCUUUUUUCCCUGUGUGAUCCCAUCGGGAGGCACAUUGGAAAAGGAAGAAGAGAGAUGCUCUUCAGAGCAAAGAAGUGUUGCAUCCUAUGUUUUGUUUCUGUCAUGUGGCCACUGUACAGCUCAGGGUCUGGAUGAGGUUUUUGAUGUGUGUGUUUGAGCCUUUUGGCACUCUGAAGUUGUUGUAUGUGUGUUUCUGAUGUUCUGCUCAGCCAAGACUGGAUGGUACCACCAGGCACUGGAGAAGUCAGGAGCAGGAAGGGCUGGGGGUCUUCAUUCCUGUAAGAGGAUCAAAUCUGGCAUUGAACCGGAGUCUCUGCUCACAGUGUGGAUGGCAGAAGUAGCCAGAGGAGCAAUAAGAAAGCUCAGCAGCAAUCUUUGGUCCCUCUUUUGUAGGUCAGGUUGAUAGUGCUGCUUCCCAGGCGAGUCCUGCUCCACCAAAACUCAUCAAAGAAUUGCUGUGCAAGGGCUCAGGCUAACGCUGUCCUGGCUGGUGGGAGAUGUUCAUGAGGUUCAGUGACCAUGGCAUCACACCAAACUCAAACACACAGGAGUCCCCAGUACCAGCUCCUAAGACUUGUGGUUUUUGGUCCAUACCUUGUAUAAAUGAUGCCAGAGAUUCAGUUGUCCCUGUUCAGUCCUGUCUGGGCUUUUUUCCCCCCACUUUUGAAAUGGCAAUUUCUGGCAGGGUUUCUCCCUGGAGAGGAGGCAGCCCAUCCUUUUGGGAUGAAGGAGAAAGGCUUCACCCUGUGCAGAGCCUGCGUAGCACAGUUUGGGUUAGGGUUUGCAGGGCUGCAGUGGGGAAGGUGAAUUGUGCUCCAUGGACCUGUCCUGUUGGUGUCAUUCAGCUUUUGGUAUGAGAGGGGCAUUAAAUGAGCCUGAAUCUGAGUGUGCCUGGAGCGAUGGGGACAUGGGUACCGCUGGCUGGUGUCCGAGGUGGGUCGAUUUGGGUGCUUGGGACCAAGAGGAGGUCCUUGGUCCUUAGCUGCAAGGUGGCUUCGGUCUGGGAAUAUGCUGAAUUUAUAUAUAUGAGAUGCCUGAACAGCCAAAUCUAGAAAUCUCUGAGUUUGUGCUUUGUAGCGAAAGGUAAAUCAUUGUGUCUUGGGGAUGGGGUGGGAGGGUGUUAUUUGAGGGGUAAAACUGAAAGAAACAGGUUUCCUAUUUUAUUACAUGAGAGAUAUUUUUCCACUAAAUUACCACUUCCUAAACCGUGUCCUGUGUCCAACUGUAAAUACCCGGGUGUGCCAUGAAAACGUUGGAAGGCUCCUCAUGGUCACAUCCACACGGUCCACUCUGUUCACACAAUAUUGGGCUGAUUUGUUUUAUACUUAUGAAAUUACAGAAAUAAAAGCAGUUUUACUGGA
ensembl:lncRNA